CCCGCACAAGCGGUGGAGCAUGUGGUUUAAUUCGAUGAUACGCGAGGAACCUUACCUGGGCUCGAACGUAAGAUGACUGUAGGUGAAAGCUUACAUCUCUUCGGAGCAUUUUACGAGGUGCUGCAUGGUUGUCGUCAGCUCGUGCCGUGAGGUGUCGGGUUAAGUCCCAUAACGAGCGCAACCCUACCUUUAGUUGCCAUCAGGUUAAGCUGGGGACUCUAAAGGAACUGCCUACGCAAGUAGUGAGGAAGGCGGGGAUGACGUCAAAUCAGCACGGCCCUUACGUCCAGGGCUACACACGUGCUACAAUGGCCGAUACAGAGGGCAGCUACCUGGUGACAGGAUGCAAAUCUCCAAAGUCGGUCUCAGUUCGGAUCGGAGUCUGCAAUCCGACUCCGUGAAGUUGGAUUCGCUAGUAAUCGCGCAUCAGCCAUGGCGCGGUGAAUACGUUCCCGGGCCUU
rnacentral:rRNA from 1 species